GCCGUACGCGGGAGCCGUCAUUCGGUGGCGGGUCCCGGCCGCGGGGCUGGCGGGCUGAGGGGAGGAAAGAUGGCGGCAGCGGCGGCAGCUGGUGCGGCUUCUGGGCUGCCGGGUCCAGUGGCACAGGGAUUGAAGGAGGCGUUGGUGGAUACCCUCACCGGAAUCCUGUCCCCGGUGCAGGAGGUGCGGGCGGCUGCAGAGGAGCAGAUUAAGGUGCUGGAGGUGACAGAGGAAUUUGGUGUUCACCUGGCAGAGCUGACUGUAGAUCCUCAGGGGGCACUGGCAAUCCGUCAGCUGGCGUCAGUCAUCUUGAAACAGUAUGUGGAAACUCACUGGUGUGCCCAAUCAGAGAAGUUCAGACCUCCGGAAACUACAGAAAGGGCAAAAAUUGUCAUCCGGGAGCUGUUACCCAAUGGGUUAAGAGAAUCAAUAAGCAAAGUGCGCUCCAGUGUGGCCUAUGCUGUGUCCGCCAUUGCCCACUGGGAUUGGCCUGAAGCCUGGCCCCAGCUCUUCAACCUGCUUAUGGAAAUGUUGGUGAGCGGAGACUUAAAUGCCGUCCAUGGAGCCAUGCGUGUGUUGACAGAGUUUACUCGAGAAGUGACAGACACACAGAUGCCACUUGUUGCUCCUGUCAUUCUGCCAGAGAUGUAUAAGAUAUUCACCAUGGCCGAGGUGUAUGGUAUUCGAACUCGUUCCCGAGCAGUGGAGAUUUUUACUACUUGUGCGCAUAUGAUCUGUAACAUGGAGGAACUGGAAAAGGGUGCAGCCAAAGUCCUGAUCUUCCCCGUGGUGCAGCAGUUCACAGAGGCCUUUGUUCAGGCACUCCAGAUGCCCGAUGGCCCCACAUCUGACAGUGGCUUUAAGAUGGAGGUCCUGAAGGCAGUGACAGCCUUGGUGAAAAACUUCCCAAAGCACAUGGUGUCCUCCAUGCAACAGAUCCUGCCCAUUGUUUGGAACACUCUAACUGAAAGUGCUGCCUUUUAUGUGAGGACGGAAGUGAAUUACACAGAGGAAGUGGAAGAUCCUGUGGAUUCGGAUGGAGAAGUCCUGGGCUUUGAGAACCUCGUCUUUAGCAUUUUUGAGUUUGUCCAUGCCCUACUGGAGAACAGCAAGUUCAAAAGCACCGUUAAGAAGGCUCUGCCCGAGCUCAUUUACUACAUCAUCCUGUACAUGCAGAUCACCGAGGAGCAGAUUAAAGUGUGGACAGCUAACCCACAGCAGUUUGUAGAAGACGAGGAUGAUGACACGUUCUCCUACACUGUUAGGAUUGCCGCUCAAGACUUGUUGCUGGCUGUGGCCACAGAUUUCCAGAAUGAGAGUGCAGUGGCCCUGGCUACUGCAGCCACACGGCAUUUACAAGAAGCAGAGCAGACAAAAGCCAGUGGCACUGAGCACUGGUGGAAGAUCCACGAGGCCUGCAUGCUUGCUCUAGGCUCUGUGAAGUCUAUCAUCACUGACAGUGUGAAAAAUGGCAGGAUCCAUUUUGAUAUGCAUGGGUUCCUGACCAAUGUCAUCCUUGUAGACCUCAACCUGUCAGCAUCUCCUUUCCUCUUGGGCCGGGCACUGUGGGCUGCCAGUCGCUUCACUGUCGCUAUGUCCCCUGAACUGAUUCAGCAGUUCCUACAGGCAACAGUCAGUGGUCUUCAUGAGACACAGCCCCCAUCAGUUCGCAUCUCUGCUGUGAGAGCCAUCUGGGGUUAUUGUGAUCAACUGAAAGUCUCAGAGAGUACGCAUGUGCUUCAGCCCUUCCUACCCAGCAUCCUUGAUGGCCUAAUUCACCUAGCAGCCCAGUUCAGCUCAGAGGUCCUCAACCUGGUGAUGGAGACGCUGUGCAUUGUUUGUACUGUUGACCCAGAAUUCACAGCAAGCGUGGAAAACAAGAUCUGUCCCUUCACCAUCGCUAUUUUCCUCAAGUACAGUAAUGGUUUCAGGAAAGCAAAGGUCUUAAACUUUGCCCCAGAAGAAAAGCCUCCUUUAACUUUAGGAGUAGCUAUUAGAAAGUCCAUGCCCUGGAGAACACCUCUAUUGUAUGUUUGAAGACUUAGCAUCCCUUGUUCUUCAGGGGAUUCUUGUGGCUGGCUGCUCCACUUCCAUUUCCCAACUGGAUCCUGUUGUGGCCUCGCUGGCUCAGGACAUCUUCAAGGAGCUUUCGCAAAUUGAAGCCUGUCAAGGUCCCAUGCAGAUGAGGCUGAUUCCCACGCUGGUCAGCAUAAUGCAGGCCCCAGCAGACAAGAUCCCUGCGGGGCUCUGUGCGACAGCCAUUGACAUCUUGACUACAGUAGUUCGAAAUACCAAGCCUCCCCUUUCCCAGCUCCUCAUUUGCCAGGCUUUCCCUGCUGUGGCGCAGUGCACCCUUCACACAGAUGACAAUGCCACCAUGCAGAAUGGUGGUGAGUGUUUGCGGGCCUAUGUGUCAGUGACACUGGAACAGGUAGCCCAGUGGCAUGACGAACAAGGCCACAAUGGACUGUGGUACGUGAUGCAAGUAGUGAGCCAGCUCCUUGACCCACGAACCUCAGAGUUUACUGCAGCUUUUGUGGGCCGCCUGGUCUCCACCCUCAUCUCCAAGGCAGGGCGGGAGCUGGGGGAGAAUCUGGACCAGAUUCUUCGUGCCAUCCUCAGUAAGAUGCAGCAGGCAGAGACACUCAGUGUCAUGCAGUCUCUCAUCAUGGUGUUUGCUCAUCUGGUGCACACUCAGCUGGAACCUCUAUUGGAGUUCCUAUGUAGCCUCCCAGGACCAACUGGGAAGCCUGCCCUGGAGUUCGUGAUGGCUGAGUGGACGAGUCGGCAGCACCUGUUCUAUGGACAGUAUGAAGGCAAAGUUAGCUCUGUGGCACUGUGUAAACUGCUUCAGCAUGGCAUCAAUGCAGACGACAAGCGGCUACAAGAUAUUCGUGUGAAGGGAGAGGAGAUCUACAGCAUGGACGAGGGCAUCCGCACCCGCUCUAAGUCAGCCAAAAACCCGGAGCGCUGGACGAACAUUCCUCUGUUGGUCAAGAUCCUAAAGCUGAUUAUCAACGAGCUUUCCAAUGUCAUGGAGGCCAAUGCUGCUCGCCAGGCCACUCCUGCUGAGUGGAACCAAGAUGAUUCCAAUGAUAUGUGGGAGGACCAGGAGGAAGAGGAGGAGGAGGAGGAUGGUUUAGCUGGCCAGCUUUUAUCUGACAUUCUUGCUACAAGUAAAUACGAGGAGGAUUACUAUGAAGACGAUGAGGAAGAUGACCCCGAUGCCCUGAAGGAUCCUCUCUAUCAGAUUGAUCUGCAGGCGUAUCUCACAGACUUCCUUUGCCAGUUUGCUCAGCAGCCCUGUUACAUAAUGUUUUCAUGCCACCUUAACGACAACGAGAGGCGGGUCCUACAGACUAUCGGCAUCUAAAAAGGAGAGUCUUCAGCCUGUGCUUCCUCUCCUGGCCCAGCCACAGAACAUUCUACCGCCCUCUCUGGCCUUGAGAUGCACUUUUUCUCAGCCUGGAGUGGCUUCUGGCCGUCGGCCUGGACAGUGAUACUGACACUCAGCCCUUGCUUACCAGGGCUGGCAUUUUAAAAGCUAAAGCAAAGAACAUUUAUCAAAGUCCUGUGAAGAUACCCCAAAUCUGGAACUGUCUUUCUCCCCAGCUCUGCCCCCUUCAUUCCUAGCAUCCUCUGUUGGCCAGACCAGAAACAUUGAUACCGAGGAUGUGGGUUCCUGGUUAUUUUGCCCCACUUCAGGAGCACAGGAAUUCAUUUCCAUUAAUACUCAGAAGCAUAUCUGUUUCUUUCAUAGGACAUCUGAUGUGUUCAGUUAGGAGCCCCGUGAGAGAUCAUUCUGCCUAUGCCUUCUGCCCUCGGCCAGUGAUGCUCUAGGUUUUCAGUAAGGAGAAGCUGGAGCCGCCACGUACUAAGCCAUUUCCAGUAACUUCACCUUCAUGCUUUCCUCAUGCAACACUAAGGGUCCUCUGUCAAAGGCUCCAUAUUCCCAUCUUUGCUUCGUUGCAUGACACAGCCCCUCCCCCAGGCUGUUCCUAUAUAUACAUGCAUACACAAAGCAAGCCAGACAGACGGCAACUUGUCUUUUUUUUUUUUUUUUAAGAAAAAAAAUCAGGAAAGAGAUUUUUAUUUCUAAAUCUGCUUGACCCAUCUAUAUUUAAUAUGCCUCUUCUGCACAUAACCACAGAGUCUGAUAUUCAAAGGUAUCCCUAUCCCUCAGGAAUCCUCUGAAGUGGUUGAGUUGUAGCCCUUGAAUUUACAACAUGUAUUUUUCUAGGACAGUAAAGCGAUCUUUACAAAUGAAUUUAGUCUGCAUACUCUAAGGUGUCUCAACACCUCCACCUUCUGUUUCUUCCUUCCAGAAGCAAAGUAAAAAACAGAAGAAAGCAUAGCAUAUUUUAGCAUCCUACUGUGAUUUGGCAAGCAGCUCAAAAAUCUUAGAGAACUGGUAUUUUUCAUCCAAAUAUGUUUAAAGAGUCAGUGGUACAGCGUGCGGAGGAUGGCCCAGGGUUCGGUCCCCAGUACUACAAAAAUAAGGACAUCCUGCAGUGGGGUUCCCUCGUAUUAUGAGUUGAGAAUGGGUGAAGAUUAAGAGCAGAGUAGUUGCCCCAUGCUCCCUUUGUUUGGUAGUGCCCGGGUCUGCUGCUCCAUUUUUAAUAGCUGGAGCUUUUUCUUUGGGGUGAUGCUUUAACAAAAAGGAAAGGGGAUGUAGUGGUCUUGAGCUCCACUUAAGCAGAAGGCGUAUAAGGCCUUUCCUGGGACCAAAGGACUUGGCAGCUUGUUACUGACUGCGCCACCAGAUGUCCUUAGUGCUCAACCUUGAGUUCAGAAGCACUAACUAAAGUUUCCACUUUUAUUUUUAAGAGCCUAAGAAAGUGUGUAUAGUUGUCUUCUGGCUGGCGGUGUGGAGACCAGUAUUGCCUCUGCCCUUGCUGCUUUUCCUCCUGAAGUUGAAGUUCCUGAUAAAGAGAAAUGAUAACAUACCUGUCCAGUGGUACCCAAAAACACCACAGUAAGAGCUUUGGAACCUCGUUCUAUAGUUGACCUCAAAGUCAACUGGAUUUGGUGCUAAAAACAGUAGACCAUUCCACAUGAUUAAGUUGUCUAAUGGUUUUGUCACAUUAGAGUGGUACCAGGUUAGCAGCACUGGCCUGCUGAGUUUGAGGAAGCUUGGAGACCCCAGUUCAUAUGCCGACAGUGAUGUGGGUUCAUUCUAAGCCUGCACAUUAGAACAGUUCCCAGUGUGUAGUGCCAAAAUUAGUCCAAAGGGUCUGUCCUGUUCUCAUGGUUCACUUUUGGUAGGAGGGCUAAGCUCCUGGCUUAAGAAAACUUGAAAAGCAGGUUUGUAGGAAGCCAUCCUGGCCAACAUACAUAACUGAUUGGAAGUGGAGGGGCUUCUGCACCCUGGUGGACAGAUGCUUGUGUUUUCAGAGCAAUUAACUCCUGCAACAGUGAAAUCUCCCAUCCUGCCGAGAGACUGUUCCUGAGAGCAAGGAGAAAGUUCUGUUGGUGUGACGAAGUUGAACUCUGGCUCAUAUUUUAUCUCCUAUGAAAGCCAACUUCAUUUGGGAAAGGGGUGAGGCAGACCGUUGAAGACUAAGAAAAGACCAGUGAACUCAUGAGAGGUGUGGGCUCCCUAUGAUCAAAGGUUUCCAGGUUGUGGGUGAAACACUGGAGAGCUAGAAAGCAGAUGAGAUUCCAAGAAAGAGUUGUUCCGCUAACCCCUGACUAAGACGCAUGAACCUACAACAGAUGGUUCGAAAGCAGAUGACUGUCAGCGGGGAAAGCAGUGGCUGGGGCUGAGAGAGGUGGUCAUUGUGAGCUAGGAGCUAAAGUGGUGAGCUAAUGAAAGCAAGCCUCAGCUCUUGUUAGCUGUCCUAAGUACCCCAGAGAAGUAAAGUGAGCACUGACCAGCCGAGCGACAAGUCAGCCUUCGUGGGAGAACGGGGGUGGGUCUUUACUGUGGAGAUGAGUGGGUUGAUUUAUGCCAGGACAUUUGAAGCCAUUUGCAAAAGAAACUGACCUACACAAGGAAAGAAUGCUCAUCAAAUCUUAGAUGACAGGAAACCCCUGGGAAGGGUGACAUUUAGGAUCCAAGUAGAUCAAGUAUAAGAAAAGGAGUUUGGCGACAGUAUUUAUCGGGAAGAUUAAAGAUUUGGAGUACUGUGUACCUCAUUAAAAGUACUGAGUGUUAGGAGUCCAAAAAACUCCAGUGUGGGCCCAGGUUAUGGUCUAGGAUACUGCAGAUUUUCCUCCACCUCUGUCCCUCUCAGGGAUCCUGACCAAUGACAAUACUCUGUAAAAGGACAUCCAAGACCUAGACUGUUUAGAGGAAGUGGUGACAUGGCUGAGAAGGCUGGGCUCAGGACAGCCUCAGCACUCAUGGGUUUGUUCAGACAAGCGCUGCACUGCACCAGGCCAGCUGUGCCCUGAGGACGGAAUAAAAAGUGCAUUUCUGGCUCUUC